rnacentral:rRNA from 1 species
UGGAAACGGUGGCUAAUACCGCAUAACGUCGCAAGACCAAAGAGGGGGACCUUCGGGCCUCUUGCCAUCAGAUGUGCCCAGAUGGGAUUAGCUUGUUGGUGAGGUAACGGCUCACCAAGGCGACGAUCCCUAGCUGGUCUGAGAGGAUGACCAGCCACACUGGAACUGAGACACGGUCCAGACUCCUACGGGAGGCAGCAGUGGGGAAUAUUGCACAAUGGGCGCAAGCCUGAUGCAGCCAUGCCGCGUGUAUGAAGAAGGCCUUCGGGUUGUAAAGUACUUUCAGCGGGGAGGAAGGUGUUGUGGUUAAUAACCGCAGCAAUUGACGUUACCCGCAGAAGAAGCACCGGCUAACUCCGUGCCAGCAGCCGCGGUAAUACGGAGGGUGCAAGCGUUAAUCGGAAUUACUGGGCGUAAAGCGCACGCAGGCGGUCUGUCAAGUCGGAUGUGAAAUCCCCGGGCUCAACCUGGGAACUGCAUUCGAAACUGGCAGGCUUGAGUCUUGUAGAGGGGGGUAGAAUUCCAGGUGUAGCGGUGAAAUGCGUAGAGAUCUGGAGGAAUACCGGUGGCGAAGGCGGCCCCCUGGACAAAGACUGACGCUCAGGUGCGAAAGCGUGGGGAGCAAACAGGAUUAGAUACCCUGGUAGUCCACGCCGUAAACGAUGUCUACUUGGAGGUUGUGCCCUUGAGGCGUGGCUUCCGGAGCUAACGCGUUAAGUAGACCGCCUGGGGAGUACGGCCGCAAGGUUAAAACUCAAAUGAAUUGACGGGGGCCCGCACAAGCGGUGGAGCAUGUGGUUUAAUUCGAUGCAACGCGAAGAACCUUACCUGGUCUUGACAUCCACAGAACAUUCCAGAGAUGGAUUGGUGCCUUCGGGAACUGUGAGACAGGUGCUGCAUGGCUGUCGUCAGCUCGUGUUGUGAAAUGUUGGGUUAAGUCCCGCAACGAGCGCAACCCUUAUCCUUUGUUGCCAGCGGUCCGGCCGGGAACUCAAAGGAGACUGCCAGUGAUAAACUGGAGGAAGGUGGGGAUGACGUCAAGUCAUCAUGGCCCUUACGACCAGGGCUACACACGUGCUACAAUGGCGCAUACAAAGAGAAGCGACCUCGCGAGAGCAAGCGGACCUCAUAAAGUGCGUCGUAGUCCGGAUUGGAGUCUGCAACUCGACUCCAUGAAGUCGGAAUCGCUAGUAAUCGUGGAUCAGAAUGCCACGGUGAAUACGUUCCCGGGCCUUGUACACACCGCCCGUCACACCAUGGGAGUGGGUUGCAAAAGAAGUAGGUAGCUUAACCUUCGGGAGGGCGCUUACCACUUUGUGAUUCAUGACUGGGGUGAAGUCGUAACAAGGUAACCGUAGGGGAACCUGC